GUAGCUAGAAGAUUUGAGCUAUUUUUAGUUCUUAUGCUGUUUGUACUUAACGUUUAACGUGAACAUUUACUUACAUGGAAGUUAUUCUCUAAGAUAUAAUGAAGAAACAGUUGGCAUUUGUUUUGGGAAAAUAUCCAGUUUUUAGUUAAAAAAAUCCUACACUCCGAACAGAUAAAUAUCCUCAUGGACUUUAAGUGGGGGAAAUUGUGUUAGGAUAUAUAACACUUCACUUUAAAAAUUCAUUACACAUAAAACUUAUUCUGAAGAAGUAAAAAUUCUCAUCUAUAAAACGUUCUAACACUAUUUUGUUUUACUUUCAAGUAUAUCUAGUCACUGGAAGUAGCCUAAUAAAAUUUUGUCUGGUAGAGAAAAUUAGGGGAAUUGCUUUAAUAAAUAAGAAAGAUUUUUAAUUAACAUUGUCAGUACAAGGAGUCCUUCUAAAGUCCUUGAAAAUACUUAAAAACAGCUUCCUCUCUCUCUUGAGUAGACUGUUUUCAAUUACCAUCUUUCUCUCAUUAUUUUUUCCUUCAUAGGUAGCAAAAGAGAGUUUGAGUUCUGUCCCUGUUAAGUAUCACACAUCCCCUGCCAGUGACGCAUGAAGUCAUGAGAUGUGAAACACCUGAGGACCUCUGCUGUAACACUUCAGCAUCCUGCUGCAGCCAGAACCAGGCUACCCGCUGCCCGUUUUGAAGGAAUUUGACUUACAGACUGGCUCCAAGAUAAAAAUCAUCUUCAUCUCCAGGAACAGGUGCAAAAGG
rnacentral:lncRNA from 1 species